rnacentral:rRNA from 1 species
UACGUAGGCAGCGAGCGUUGUUCGGAGUUACUGGGCGUAAAGCGUGCGUAGGCGGUGUCUUAAGUUUGUUGUGAAAUCUCCCGGCUUAACCGGGAGGGUGCGGCGAAUACUGAGAUGCUGGAGUGCCGGAGAGGUAAGCGGAAUUCCUGGUGUAGCGGUGAAAUGCGUAGAUAUCAGGAGGAACACCUGCGGUGUAGACGGCUUACUGGACGGUAACUGACG